rnacentral:rRNA from 1 species
AGAUUGAACGCUGGCGGCAUGCCUAACACAUGCAAGUCGAACGGGAGUAGCAAUACUCUAGUGGCGGACGGGUGAGGAAUACGUAGGAAUUUGCCCUUAAGUGGGGGAUAACCCGGGGAACCCGGAUUAAUACCGCAUGACCUCGAAAGAGCAAAGUGGGGGAUCGCAAGACCUCACGCUUUUGGAGAAGCCUACGUCGGAUUAGCUAGUUGGUGAGGUAAUGGCUCACCAAGGCGACGAUCCGUAACUGGUCUGAGAGGAUGGUCAGUCACACCGGAACUGAGACACGGUCCGGACUCCUACGGGAGGCAGCAGUGGGGAAUAUUGGACAAUGGGCGCAAGCCUGAUCCAGCAAUGCCGCGUGUGUGAGAAGGCCUUCGGUUGUAAGCACUUAAGUUAGGAAGGAAAAAACGUACCGACUCUAACACAACGUAGAGUCUUAGACGUACCGUAACGAGAAUAAGACACCGGACUAACUCUA